rnacentral:misc_RNA from 1 species
GCAGGGGAAAUCAUUUUCAAGGGAUGAAAUAACGCGUUUGACAAAGAUAUUAAACUCAAAGAUUAUCGAUGAACAAGAAAAGAUAGCUAGCAUAACAGCUGAAGGAGACAUUGGAAGGUUACAUUUAGCACACGAGACACUUAGAAGACCAAAUGACAGGAAUCAGGAUGAAACAGGCUUUGCUAUGCCUGGAACUUCAACACCUCUUCCCCAAACAAACGUACGAGCUGAAGUUGGCGCAUCCCCCAUUGAUAUUGCAAGAGCUUACAUGGGAAGCCGUAGGUUAAGUAAGGGAAAUGAUUCUUAUGGUUUUGUAUCCAAGGUGGAGCAAGCUCCCCAAAAUAGGUUUCAUCCACCACCUUCACCGA